GUCCUCAGCAUCAGGUCCUUUUUGUCCCCCACUGGUCUUCUGAGCAGAUUUGACGCAGUUUCAUCUCCUUCCUGAUGCAUCCUGAGCCCCUCAGUGCCUAGCUCCUGCGUAAGCGCUUUAAUCUGGACCAAGUGGAUUGAAAAUGGCCAGAAAUUGAUCUUGAUCACUUUAGAUAUUGUAUGACAAAGGAAAAAAAUCAUUUCUGUCCAGUUAAAAUCCAUUUGAGCCAGUUUAAGCCAUUUGUGUAGAGCUGGAGCCUGAGGUCGGCAAACUCAGGAAGAUGGCUGAAGACUAUGCUGACUCAAGCCCAGACAAGGAUCCAGGUUUCUCCGAUGGCAGAUUCACUUUUUUCUCGACUUCACCCUGGACCUGUGGUGACUGGAAGCCUUGAGAUGUGAUGAGAAAACUGAGGCUCAGAGAAGUCCCAUGACUUGUCCAAGGCCAUGAAGCUAGUUCACCGAGAGGCACAGAAUGAGCUCUAGAAGCACUUCAGAGAAUACCAUUUUGUGGCUUGGAGAGAUCAGCACCCUCACUACUUAAGUGGCCUAAGAGCCAGCACCUUCAUGGAAUGGUGAAGAGGAAAGGCCAUUUGAGGACACAGUGAGAAGAUGAUGAUUAUCUACAAGCCAGGAAAAGAAGCCUCACCAGAAACCAAUCCUGACACACUGAGUUUGGGUUUUCAGCCUCUACAACUGUGAGAUGAUGAAUGUGUUGUUUACAGGACACUGUCUGUGAUAUCUUGUUAUGAUGGACCAAGGGGUCUUAUCUAACUAUUCCUUAAUAUUGGGAACAUUACUUAGAAGCAAAUGAUCUUUGAAAAUGGUAAAGUCAUCUGUGUUUGCUAUUCCUACCCCCCCUGCCCUUUUCACCAUCAAGCAAUUUAAAACUGUGAUAGGUAAUUUGCACUGUAUUCCUGGGACUCAUUUCUCUUUAGCAUUUAGCAUUUGAUUUCCAACACAAUGGUUAAGGUCUGACAAAUUCUGUUCUGAUCAUACACAACAGAGAGUUACACAGAGAAAGGCUACAGUCCCAAAUUUCAGCCCAAAGAGUAUUCUGAGCUUGGGUAGUGCUGAUGGAGCAUUCUGACCAUUGGUUUAAAGACUAUUUUUACUAUUCUAUAGAUUGCAGUUUAGAACUGAGUUACAGAAUAGAGUAUAUCUCCUUAUUCUCUCCAUUUGGUCUUUCUUCCCUCACUAAUUCCAAAAUAUGCAAGCUAUAUGCUUUCUAGUUUUUUUCCCUUCACAGCCAUUAUCUAGGCACCAAAAACAGAGAUGGAAAGAGACAGGUUUAAUCCAAAGCACCAGUUUCCAUUACCUUAAGCUGCCUCAAUGAUUUUCCUGAUGGGGUGAAAUUUCUUGCACUUGGUCUUAGGCCCAAGGUAUAUGCAAUGCUUCAAUGAAAUUGCUUGCGACACAUUGAAGUGAGUGCCUGGGAACUAUGAGUUUGUCAUAUAGUAAAAGAGAAAAAGACUCAGAACUUCUUGUACCGGCACUGGACUAAAGAGGGGAUAGCUUUCAAAGGUUUCACUUGCUAUGGAGAUCUACUCUGAUAUUGAAAGUGUUCUGUUCUGUGAAAGACACAAAGACACAUACAUACUCAUAGCCUGUGUCAGAAAGUGCAUAUUCCACAAGCUUCAUGUGAAACCCUCCACGUUUUGGUGCCGACCUCCCUUUCCUGUCUAAUCUCCUGUUACACCCCCUACUUAAGUUGAGUUCCUUAUUUGUUUCUUUGCUGUUCAGUUGUUGACCACAUAGUAGGCCUUGGGGCUAGAAAGAUAAUGCUUAUCUACAGGCCCUUGUUCCACACACCCAGGAGCUCAUAGGCUCAGAGGGGAACCUUUAUAGUAUCUCGUAUGGUUAAUGGCAUUAUAGAAGCUUGCUUCACAUAGAGAAGUCACACAUGAUGGAAUUCCAUUUAUAACAGCCUCAUAGACCAUGGAGCAGGCUUCUGCCACAUACAGUACUAAGUCUUAUGUUGGAGCUCUCUUGUGUGGGGUUUGAGCAAUUCAUUUCUUGGAACAUACACAGAUAUAAUAUGACUUUUCUGCUUCACCAUAGGGAAGAGUUUAGCAAACUCAAGGAGUGAGAUAUAAUCAGCAGUGAAUUUUUCUCUCAGCAGUAACUCUUUGUCCCUGAGCAAGAUGUCUGGUUCUCAUAACAACGUUCAGAAAGGUGUGGAAAGUGCUGACGGUCCAGCACACACAUAUGCAAAGGUCUUACCUUUAACCAUAUGGGAAUAACAGGUUCCCAAGUUCUACCCAUUUCUCUUGAUGUCCCAGUUGACAGGAAGAAACUUGGUGUAAUGGAGAUGUGGUUGUUCCAGAUGAGGAAAGAAAAAGGCAUUGAGGAAAUGUGUGCCAAGGACUGCUGCAUAUCAAGGGGACUUGAGAUGACAGCUAUUUGGGCUUUGGCACUGUGCCUUGUUGGUAGUGAGCCCUGUUCCUCCAGGGAUUUUCAAAGCAAAGUUAGGGAUGAGAUGUAAAGAUUAACCAGAAAGGCUGUUCCCCAAAUGGAGGCUUGGUGUUCAGAAAAGAAUGUUUGUAAGGUCAAGAUAAGACACCCAGAUUUUAGUUCUAGAUCUGCCCUUGACUUGUGGUCUGACAUUAGGCAACCCAUUUCUUAGUUUUGUACCUCAAUUUAUUUGUACCUUAAAAAGUUUGUUUGGAGGCCAGAUGUGGUGGUGCAUACCUUUAAUCUCCAGCAUUCAGGAGACAGAGACAACUCUCUGAGUUGAGGCUGGUCUAUAUAGUAAGUUUCAGGCCGGCCAGGGAUAAAUAGUGAAACCCUGUCUCAAAAAAAAAAAAAACAAAAAAAAAAAACAAAAAAACGAGUGGUUUUAGGCUGGGGACGUUGCCCAGUUGGUAGAGUAGUUUUCUAGCAUGUACAAAGCUCUAUGUUCUAUCACCAAUACCACAUAAACAAAGCAUGGUGGUACAUGUCUGUCUAUAAUCCUAGCUCUUGGGUGGUAGAGGCAAGAGAAUCAGAAGUUUAAGGUCACCAUCUGCUACAUUUUCAGUUUGGGGACAGCCUGAGAUAUAUGAGAUACUGUCUCAGAAACAAACAAACAGAGUUCAGUUUAUCUCUGAGGUGUCUUCUCAUACUGACCUUCAGUAUUUUUGGUCCCUCAGGUUCUCUAGAGAAGGAGCAAAUGCCAAGACUGUUAAAUCUAGACUGGAAGUUAUAGAAUAUGAAAAGAAUAAAAGAAAAAACUUUAAAGCACAAAACCACAAAAUAUAUCAUGUUAUUGGUAUUCUACUCUGUGCAUUUCCCACGAUAAGUAUUUGUCCUAUUGUUCCCGGGGAACAAUUGAAAUGUCUUGGGAAAUGCAAUUUUCAUUGUUUUAGUUGUAUCUCCUAAAUUGCCUCAUUCAACCAGGGAAGAUUUCAGCAAGUUUUUCAACAAGAACCAGUGUCAAAUUUUUGUUUCAGAAAAUAUGGUCACCAUAACUCUGUAGCACUCACCUUAUCUUCCUUUCUAGGUUUUUCUCAUACAUAUCAAGUUAUCCAUCUGUGUAAGUAAUGUCCAAGGAAAUGGAAACUGAUUAAUAUAAUCUGUUGGGAUCAUUUGUUACUCACAUGUUACAUGUGUUUGGAAAUGUAAAGAGUCAUUCUUGAAUAUAGAUAUUACAUAUAUUGUGAUUGCUUACGAUAGAUGAAGAGACCAGGUAGGUUCUCCUAUUAUAGCAUUCUAGAGAUAGAGGACAGAAGAAACUGAGCAGCAGGGGAAUUUAGCAGUAGAAGCAGGAAGGCAGAAGUUUCAGAUAUCCAUUGUUUGCAGCCUCUGCUGAUAGUGACUGGGAACUAGCAGGUUUGGAUUUAGGUAAAGGAACAUGUAAACUAUGCCUGCCUGGAUGUCUGUCUCCAGCCCUGACCUCUCUUCUGGGUCAGAGAAGAAUCUUAAAAUGUUCUAGGUCUGUCUGGCACCCUAAGCGUAUUUCUCCUCUCCCCCAGACUAGUUCUUCUCCCUGUUCCUGUUACUGGCGCUGCUUUUACCUUAACAAUUACUGGCAAUGAUAAAAAUGGCAUUUACAUUUUUCCAUUUCCCUGAUAAACGUAGUCGGUUGCUAAGCUGUGGUACUGAUCCUUCACAGUUUCAUCUCCCAACAGGCAACCUCUUCCACGCUUCACUACAGCACCCGUUAUUAGGCCCUCAUGACUUCUCAUCGAAAAUGUGUGAUUCAUUCUUACCCGGUUCAUUCUCUCUAAACCUUAUCAACUCAAUCAAUCAGGAUACAAACACACAUAUAACCUGCAGCCUUCUUUCCUCCCAGUUGUUAGGCUAAGUGUGUGGAGAGGUGAUUUUCAGUGGCACAUACGCAUUUUGCGUUGAAGAAAGGAAAGAAGGGUUUUCUCAAGAAUAUUUGGAGGCAACUUCAGCAGUUCAUAGCGUAAGGCAUAAGGAAAUACUUGCUCCUAGUUAAGAAUUAUAUUUUAUCUUGAAGCACUUUCACUGUCUGCUGUGCCCCUGAACUUGAAUGUUCAGGCAGGCCUGACACCUGUAGUUCUCCCUGCCCACAGCACACGGGUAUUCUUCCUUUCUUUCUGUGGAUACUUAGAACUGCUGAAUGCUUUCUUGUUGCUUUUUACCCCCCAGCCUCCUCUGAUCUUUCUCACAGAUGUUGGGGAUUCAGGGAUUCCCCGUAGGUUUGAGUGUCUCCUCCCUCAUUACUGGCCUUGGCCUCUUCCCACAGCCAUGUUUCCAUCACUCACAUGGACUUGGCCACGUGGCAGCUCUGCUGAUGGGCUCUUCAGCCAUCUCCCACAAACCCAGGCCAAGAGGUGACAUUCAAUCUAUCCUCAGUGUAUACCUCCAUCCUGCCAAAGCUGUAAAACUGUCUGGGAUUGUAGUCCCUUCCAGUUAUAUGCACGAGGAGGCGCUUUCCAAAGACAUUGGUCAAUUCCCUAAAGAUCCCAUGGCACAGCAGGUAGAGCUCCUGUGGUUUGCAGCAAGAAAGCCAGACCAUAGUAACAAGUGCCUCAGGCUCAGCACUCUGAAACUCUCUCGAAUCACAGGGCUUGAGAAGAGCACUGGGUAGUUUGGAACUUGUCCCAAACACAAUUAAAUAUCCAAGCAAAGGGGGGAAGAAUUGUUGGAAUACAAAUGGCCUAGCUCAAUGGGGUUGAUGGGGUGACCCAUCCAACUGGUGCUCCCAUUCCAGUCACCACAGAUCUACCAUCUCCUCAGUGGGCCUGCUAGAGUCAGCCUUGUCUGCAUCUAGGGGCAGCUCUAGCGAGCUUGCCCAGUAUCCCAGGCAUGUGCAACACUUCCACCUAACUCAAACCACAUGCAGAAGAUCAUGUCAUACUUGGCACAUAACCAAUCGAGAAAGGCAUCAGAGGGUGUCCAGACCUCAGCUUGUUUGAACAAAUGUUCAAAAAACAUUUCUGAAGGGAUAUUCCAGAAAAACAUACUCACUCAAGGUCUUAAAAACAGAUGUUCAGGCUCUAGGAUUGGGUUGCUUUGCAGCUACUAUUAUCAAAUACAGUAAAGUAGGACCAAAUCAUUUUAGGCUUGAACUAGGGUAUAGGUUUAGCUUUCUUUUGUAUCUUUAUUGUUGGCCAUGGGAGGAUGUGUCAGAGGGCAGAACAUAAUGCCUAGAGGCAGCAUGCUAUUGUGAUUCGCUCUCUGGCACCGGAGUCAGGCAGGCAAAGGCUUUGACCCCUGACUAGCUUGGUGUGUUAACCUAUCAUAAGCUCACUUUGUUUAGCUACAAAACUAAUGGUAACAUUGCUGACUCAUUACUUUUGUCAGGAGAACUAACAAAGUACUAUAUAUAUCUAGUGUAUCCCAUGGAUUAAGCACUCAGCCAGUCCAGCACUGUUAUCAACACUAUAACCAGCAGAGCUUUAGUAUUUACUCUUACGACUUUUAUACUAGUAGCACUGCUACUGCUGUUGCUGCUGUCUCUAGGACAGGAUCUAUUCCCAAAUUAGAUGGGGAGCUCUUGCAUCCUUCAUUAGUUUGCUCUGUAACCUAUCUCGACCCACUUUAGAUAAUGGUGUUUCACUAGUUACCCUUGAACAUGAAACCCUGUGGCACUUGUUUGCAGGCAAGCUGACCUAUGUCAGAGGCCUCGUCUAUGAUUGGUAUGUGUAUCAGCAACUGGGCCAAAAGAGGCAAGGUACUACUAACUUCUUUUAAUGGCUCUAAACUACCCAGCUCACAAUCCAGAUGUUUGCUAUAGCCACCACCAGAAUCUUUGUUAGCUACUGGCAAACAGUGUUAUGCUGGGCUCACUGCUAGAAGGAAAAUGUUCCAUAUAGCCAUCAUUUGUACUUCACUUUCCCAAUAAUACUUGCUGUGCCAUGACAGCUAUUUUAUUUUACUUCUAUACUUGGGGUAUGAUCCCAGGGACUAGUAUAUGCUAGGCAAGUGCUCUAUCUAUCACUGAACUACAUCUCAAGAUGGAUCCAUAAUAACUCUUUAAGAAGUUUAUCCAUCUAGUCAUACACCCAUCAACACCUCCCCCCACAUCCAUCCACCUACCAUUCAACAGGUAUUUAUUGAGCAACAAUAACACCCAAAACAUGGCUGUAGGUGCUAAUAAUAAGUCAGUGAACUGAUAUUAUGAAGCUUACAGUCGAGCUGCUUGGUCUAGCCAAACAUAGUAUACCAUGCAAGUUCAUUGGAAAAGUUUAGUCUAGACUUUUAGAACAAAUUUUAGUCAGUUCUUCUCAACUGGACAUGUCUUUUAGGGUGCUUGAGUGGAGAGUGAGGGACUGUCUUGCAUCCAGUCUGAGGGUGGCAGGGAACAGGGCCUUAGAUACAAUGUGGCUGCAUUUUGAUUUCUAAGAUUAAUCUGCUGGAUACAAAUUGUGUACUUACUAUGUUGAAUGGCUAAGUUUUGAAAUGUGAUAAGAAUACAAUGUGGCUUUGUUAUCGUCUCAUUCAUAAACUGGCUCAGAAGGCAGUUCUCAAAGCAGCGUUUCAAAAAUAUUCUGAACAAUGGCAAUAUCAGAACAUAUUCUUAGGGGGACUGCUUAAGACAAUUCAGUACAUAUCUGAGUGUACAAAUCCUGCGUAUUAAAAAGAAAUAUUGCUAGUAGCUAAUUUACUAAAAAAUAGUGAAAAGAAAGAAAUGUAGACUUAAAUUUUUAAUUCAAUUAUUGAAAUAUUUAUGCAUUAUAUGUUUGGAUUUAUGACUGCCAUACAAUUAAUUCACUUUAAAAAUAAUGCAAGGAAUUUUUUCUUUGCACUUAGGUUUAUUCCCGUCAGCUCAUGCAUAGUCUUCUGCAUGUGAGUCUUUGAAGCUUAUAGCACAGCUAUUUAGCCAUUGUCUAUCUUUUUUAUAUAAAAGUCAAUCUUCCCAUUACAUGGCAGGCCUGCAGAAAUGCUGCCUUCUGCUUUGAAGCCAGUGAGUGUAUGACCAAGUUAACUGGUAUUUUUUUUUCCAGCGGAAUGUUAAAUCAGGAAUUGUAAACAAUUCCUAGGCAAUGUGUAUAAUGUUCGUAAGUCAUUCCUAGAAAUUGUUCACAAUGCCUGUAACAUAUAUGCAGCUAGCAAGAUUUCUGAAGUACAUAGGAAGCCUUCAAGAAGCUAACUGUCCAUUCACAUCUCUGGAUCAUGACAUUUCUUGUAAUAAAUUCUACUUAUUUAUCUGUUAAUUUGUCUAGAUGUUAAUAAUUCUGAUAAUAGUAGUACUACUUGAUUUUCAUAGCUCCCAAGGAUUUCUACAAUUUUUGCCAGUAAUUUGGUGAUACAAGGUGUUGGACAUGCUUAUUUUAUGAGGCAUUAGAAAAAAAAACAAUAAUUAAGAGUAAAGGCAAUUGUACUUGUCAGGUGAGCCAAGGUCCUGUUUAAAUGUUCUUAUUCUUUUACAAAAGCUUUAGGCAAAGCUUCCUUGCCUUUCCCACAGCUUACUUUCAGCCAGUUUUUUAUACUCUAAUUCCCUUGGGCUUUCCUAAGUCAUGCCAAAGAAACUUAAUCAUUUCUACCAAUCUUACUCUGUCAUGAGAUUUUCUUGCCUUUUCCUGUUCACUUAUCUGCUAAUGGAACUUGAUAUUCACAUAAUGUAAUUGCUUACUCUAUGUACUUGAUUCCUAUUUGUAUUUAUCUAUUUUCAUUUACUAUUUUGAAAUGAUCUGCCUAUUGGUUUAUAUCAGCAUUGCUGUAGGUUAUAUCUAUGUAACUACUCUAAAUCAAUUUUGAGAUGAAAGCAAAAUGUUGAAUGAGUUUUGGCCUUGAGUGUGAUGAUCAUAUCAAGUCACUGGUUGGGAUUCUUUGCAUGUUUACAGUUAAGUGAAUUUGCUUGACUUUUGAUUGACUAGUGGAAAGGGACUAUCCUAGGAGCCCACUCAGAUGAAGCCAGGGAAUGAGCUGGCUAUAUGGGAUGUGGGACUAAGGGAUUGGGCAAAGCCUUUUGACAAUUGAUCUCAGCAUCUAGUUCUGGUGCCAAGUAACUAGCUGAUGUUGUAAGAUGCAGCUGAGCAAUAUUUAUAGUCAUACAAAUGGCCCUUUAAUAUGCUUAGAUGAUGACCCUCACCCCAAAUCCCAUCCCUACUGUAUCCAGAUAUGACCCAUCUCCCAAGGCCAAACUCAACUUAUUCUGUUAAAGCCUGCCUAGUUGUAUUAGUCCUUUCUGGUGUAUCUUCUUUGAAUGCCUCUAGACCUUUAAGGACAUUUUGUCUCUGAAACUGAAUUGCACUGAUAUAAUUAUGUACUGUGCAUUUUUCAUGGAUGCCUUACACUUAUGGUGACCAUAUUUUCCAACCAAAAAUUAGAACAUCUGAAAAUUGAGGUGAGCAUUUGAAAUGAGCAGUCCUCUGGCAAACAUAUGCUUAUUCCCUUCUGUGUCUCUCACCUGUUGAACAGUCAGCAUUGACUAUGACAACAGAAAGGCAAAGACAGACAGAAGGUAACAUCUACCAAGUGGCAAGUAAAGGACACAGAUAUUUUUGGAGUGUCUAGUAUAGGCAGGUAUAGCUUAAGAGCUUUGUUAUUAUGCCUUAGGAAUAAUGAUUUGGCCUGAAAAUAAAAACAAUGUAAGAAAAGAAGAGGGACAACAAAAGUGCCAGUACUAAGAGACACUGUAGAAGGAUUCUAUCAUACAACCCUGCAGGCAAGAGAAGUCUCUGAAGAGGAGGACUUGUGCUCAGAAAGACAAAUAGAGAAGUUUUUCACUGAAGUUCUUAAACAUAUGAUUAGACAGAUUUUUUAAACCAAAUUCUGGGAGGCUUUGCAUAACACAAUUAUAAAUAAAUUUAGGGAAAUUAUAACAAUGGUGAAGAAAUAGCACUUAAUUGGGCUAGGUGUUACAAGUUGAGAAUGCAGCUUGGAAAGAGUGUAGCUUCAUUUAGGGCUAGUUAGUAACUUCUGGUCCUGAGUCAUUAAUAGAGGUGAGCAAAUUAAUCUUUUCUUGGGAAAACAAGCAUCUAAAGUUACCCAUAUCAAACUUCUUGACUCAUUUGGAGCAUCUGUGUGUAGACUCCUCCAUGUUCAAUUCUGUGGAACAUCAAGAGAGAGACUGACUGGAAUUAGUAGAGCCAAGGGCUUUUGAGUAUGCAACUUUUACAGAUUAGUGUGGUUUCUUCCUGUUGUGAGCCCAUGGCAGACAGAGCGAAGAGUACUUCUACUUGCCCUGUGAAGUCUUAAGGGGGCACUGACUGUUGACUUGAUACUGCUUUUCCUCUAAAGUACCUAUCUUUUUCUGCCUCAUCUUCAUUUUUAUUCUCUUCCAUUUUAUGUCUAGCUGAGACUGAAUUAAAGAACAGGACAUAAGUUAGUGGGUAAAACUCAAUUGCCAUUGUUGGUUCUAGCCAUGACAGUUUCUCUCAUCCAAGUCCUAACCAGGACCACCCUGCUUAGCUUCCAAGGCCAAGAUCAACUGUAUUCAGGUAGUAUGUUUCUUAGUUCUCCCAGGUAGACUUGGCUGUAACUCUGUGUACCUGUUAUCUUGGUUUUUUAAGUCUGGGAUUCCACUUUGCAUUGGUUUUGUUGUUUGUGAAGUACGGUAUCUAACAGUAGACAAUUGAUAUCAAGUAUCAUCCUUCCUUGUCUUUCUCUCUCUCUCCCUCCCUUCUGUUUUCUUUUGAGACAGAUCUUAUAUGUAUUAGGCAGGCCUCAAACUCCCUGGCUACCCAAAGCUGAAUGUGUACUCCUGGUCUUUCUGCCAAUGCCAGGAUUAUAGGAGAUGCUCCCAUGCCCAGCAUACAUGUGGUCUUAACAGUUUAAAAUAGAAUAUAAAUACUGGCUCACUAAUGAGCAUUAUGCUUUUGUUCGUACAACCUAACUUUACAUUUGCAUCUUGAAGACUUCAUGUUUCAUCUUGAACUCAUAAUGAAAGACCUUGAACUCUUAGUCUUCACGUUUUCUGGUGUUGCAAAGUGAAGCUUCCUGGUCCUAUCUUUGCACUCAUUAAACUACAUGUGAGGAUUGAUAUAUAGGACAAGCAUUUUGGAAUUGCAUAGAAGUAUUUGAGGAAAAAAUUAGCUCCCAGUACAAAGCCAUUUCUUGGGCUCUUUGACAAGCAAACAAUUGAUGGAAUAUUUUUUUAGUCUUUGGCAUUUUUUCCUACUUGCCACACCUCAUUUCCUGAUUUGAACCUUCAAAUGCAUCGUGUUUUUGCACUGAUGAUAGCGGCUGAAAUCUUCUGCCUCCCGUCUCUCUAUACCUCCCUGCUAUGAGCCUUAGGUUUUUUUCCCUCCUGAACCCAUUCGAAACCAUGAAAUAGUUUAUUGUUAUUCCUUUCCUCCCUGAAAAUGAAAAGGUAGCUAUGCCAGAUAGUGCCAGACAGAUGGGAAUGUUAGUUCCAGGGUGUGGGUAGAUUACUUACAGGGUUAGUAGGGAUAAGCAUGUUGGAGUUACCCACUCUCAGGCUUUUACCAGAGGCUCAUCCCAUCUGAUGGCUCCUCAGGAGGGUAAGUCACAAGGAAUUACUGUAGCGUGGAUUAGUAUUACUGAACUCCUAAUCAAAGUCCAGCUGGGAAGAGCAGCUGAAGAGAACUGGUCUUUGCUGGCAUCCAAGAAAACUAUGGAUUUGGCCAGAUGAAGAACUUCUUGGCUAUGAUGGAAUGAGUCAGGGUUAACAAAACCUUAUACAAGGUUUUACCAAUAGGCUAGCACUGUACAUAUGGCAGGCCUAUUUUCUUCUAGUAUUCUCUGCCUGGCAAGCAAGGCAAGGCAAGAUAAAUACCUGAAACUUUUGAGAUAGAUAGCUAAGUUCUUUUGUGACAUCUCUCAUACAAUAUAUCCAAUGAAUCAGAUUCUCUCUGCAAUUACUCAAGGUAUUAUUGCUUGGGAGAAAGACAAAAGAGUUACAUAGUCUGUUCUUCAUCUCUUUCUUCUUGGAACAGCCACAUACCCUGUGUUCAUGCUGUCCACCCUAUUUCAUCUAUUCCUCCAACACUUACCCUUAUCCCGUGCAGAGGGUAGAUCUGAACGAUGUGUUCUUGCAGAAUAACAUCUUUCCCAGAAACCUUAUCGCAGAAGCCAUUGGCCAGGUAGCCCGCCUCCGUUUUGUUUGCUGGAAGAGCUGCUGAGGUUUCCAGUAUUACUAUCCACUGGAGACUGGGCAGGACUGGGAAGCAGCUUUCCCUAGCAGAAGUAUUGCAUUAGGAAACACUUUGCUUGGAAGUUAAGGUGAGAAAUCAUCAGGCCAGAAAAGGGUAUGUUCUUAGGAUCCAAAACAACUAUAAAGUCACUUUUCCCCAAAGGUACAUUGCAUUAUUUCUUGGAUUGUUGUAUUGUGGGGGUGGCAGUAGGAGUGGGGGUGGAGCUAGGAUGAGUAACAGUUUUGGAACAUAAAGCCCUACAGUUUUUCCAUUUUCUGUCUAGCUGAGACGGAAUUAAAGAGGCCUAAAAUAAGAUAAAAUAAAACUACUUCAAGAAGCUCCCCCAGAACAUUUUUAAUUCUAUUACCUUUAAAAAGAAUCUAAUAGGAGUAUGAGUUGAAUCCCUUCCUUGUGAAAACUCAGGUUUUCCCUGCUUCACAGGAUGGGAUAAGUCCCAUGAGCUUAAGGGGAAAUACAGAGCACUUAUCGCCUUUCUUUCCUUCCUCUUAACUUCUCCCUUUCUGUUCACUCUAUGUAAAGACAUCUUGGGAAUAUGGCUAAUAGUCAUAAAAGAAUGUAGAAGCCACGGAAUGAAGGAUCUUAAGGGGGAUUAGAAGAGAGCAUAAUGGAAUACAUGUGAUUUUAAAAAAUCAUAAUAGGCAAACCAUGUGGGAAAAGUAAGAGAAUCAGCCAGAGCGGGUAGGGAACAAGGGGUACGGAAGAUGGAGAGGGGGAUGAGUAAGAACAAAGCAUAAUGACACAUAAGAAAAUGCCAUAAUGAAACCCAUUACUUUAUAUGCUAAGUUAAAAUUUAAUUUUCAAAGAAUGGAAAUAUUGACAACAGAGUGUGUGAGUUCAAAUAUUAGCUCAGAAACUUCUGAUAAUGGAUAACCUACUUAAUUUUCUUAUACCUUAAUUUCCUUUAUUGGAGAGAUAAUAAGACUACCUUUUGGAGUUACAGGGUUAAUUAAAAAUGUGUCUUGUUCUCCCCCUUCAUAGAUAGACAUAUACAUAGGAUCAGUGCUUGGAUGCUCUGUUCUUAUUAGGAUUGAUUUUAGUCAUUCAAGUUGGGCACAACUCUGAGGGAGAGGAAAUGGAUAAUGUGGUUUCUUGCAGCCCCUUUCAAAUGAAGAACUCUGAGUCUUUUAGAAAAAUCCAGGUUGGGACUGACAAGAUGGCUCAGGUGGGUAAAAGUGCUUGAUACUAAGCCUGAUGACCUGAAUUCAAUUCUCAGGACCCAUAGGGUAGAAGAAAAGAUCCAACUGCUGCAUGAUGUCCUCUAAACACCACACGUGUCUCCUCCCACAAAUAAUUAAGCAAAAUGAAAUGAUUUUUUAAAUUAGAAAAAUUUAGGUUUUACUUCUAGAUAUGUAUUUAAGAAGAAUUAUUCAGGGCUAGGGAUAUAUAACUCUGUGCUAGAACACUUGCCGGGUAUUCACAAGGCCCUUGAUACCCACCCACGCCCAAUACAACACAGAGAGAGAGAGAGAGAGAGAGAGAGAGAGAGAGAGAGAGAGAGAGAGAGAGAGAAGGA